UACGUAGGGUGCAAGCGUUGUCCGGAAUUAUUGGGCGUAAAGAGCUCGUAGGCGGUCUGUUGCGUCGGCUGUGAAAACCCGGGGCUCAACUCCGGGCCUGCAGCCGAUACGGGCAGACUAGAGUUCGGCAGGGGAGACUGGAAUUCCUGGUGUAGCGGUGAAAUGCGCAGAUAUCAGGAGGAACACCGGUGGCGAAGGCGGGUCACUGGGACCAUUACUGACGUGAGGUGCGAAAGCGUGGGGAGCAAACAGG
rnacentral:rRNA from 1 species